UCACUCACACAACAUGAGGGCACUUUACACAGGUAGAGAAUUGUCCUGAGGACCUAAGCCUAAGAAUCUUCAAGAUGGAAGAGUAGAGUGAGCAAGGAAUGAGCCAGAAGGCUCUUGUCCUCUGUGUGCAGCUCUGGGCAGCCAGCAGGUGGAUAUGGGACUUGGCCUGCUGGAGGGGCCCUGGCAAGAGGAGCUGGCAGGAGCAGAUGGCAAAGGUCAGUGACUCCACAGUCCUUUUCCCCUACUGCGUAAGAACCACACUAAUAUAAAAACGAGAGUAAAAAAUCAAACAAAAAAGAUUUCUGGAGGAUAUCAGAAAAAAUAUACAAGACAAUAAUAAGUUAUCAAUUAAAACAAAUUG
rnacentral:lncRNA from 1 species